GUGGGGAAUAUUCCGCAAUGGACGAAAGUCUGACGGAGCAACGCCGCGUGAGUGAUGAAGGUUUUCGGACUGUAAAGCUCUGUUGUUUAGGACGAAAGUGCCUGUUGCAAAUAGUUACAGGUAUUGACGGUACUGAACGAGGAAGCCACGGCUAACUACGUGCCAGCAGCCGCGGUAAUACGUAGGUGGCAAGCGUUGUCCGGAAUUAUUGGGCGUAAAGAGCAUGUAGGCGGGUAUCUAUGUCUGUUGUGAAAAUGCGGGGCUCAACCCCGUAUUGCGAUGGAAACUGGGUUUCUUGAGUGCAGGAGAGGAAAGGGGAAUUCCCAGUGUAGCGGUGAAAUGCGUAGAUAUUGGGAGGAACACAAGUGGCGAAGGCGCCUUUCUGGACUGUGUCUGACGCUGAGAUGCGAAAGCCAGGGUAGCGAACGGGAUUAGAUACCCGUGUAGUCC
rnacentral:rRNA from 1 species